GAUCAAGAAGUCCAACGUUAAGCCCCUCGGCUGGUUGGCUGGCAACCGCGUGUCGCACACGGUGCCCCUGAGGGAAGAUCCGCCGCUAAACAAAAGUUUGGUGGACGCGCGAUUU
rnacentral:ncRNA from 2 species